ACGCUCGACACCUACGGGAAGCAGCAGUGGGGAAUAUUGCACAAUGGGGGAAACCCUGAUGCAGCGACGCCGCGUGGAGGAAGAAGGUCUUCGGAUUGUAAACUCCUGUUGUUGGGGAAAAAAGAGGAUGGGUACCCAACAAGGAAGUGACGGCUAACUACGUGCCAGCACGCCGACGGUAAUCGUGGACGGCGGGCGUGGACGAAGGC
rnacentral:rRNA from 1 species